GAUGAACGCUAGCUACAGGCUUAACACAUGCAAGUCGAGGGACCGGCGCACGGGUGAGUAACACGUAUCCAACCUGCCCUUUACUCGGGGAUAGCCUUUCGAAUGAAAGAUUAAUACCCGAUAUAAAGGAUGGGGAUGCGUUCCUUUAGGUUGUUGGUGAGGUAACGGCCCACCAAGCCUUCGAUGGAUAGGGGUUCUGAGAGGAAUGUCCCCCAGAUUGGAACUGAGACCCGGUCCAAACUCUGACGGGAGGCAGCAGUGAGGAAUAUUGGUCAAUGGGCGCUAGCCUGAACCAGCCAAGUAACGUGAAGGAUGAAGGCUUAUGGGUAGUAAACUUCUUUUAUAUAAGAAGAUGUAUUAUAUGAAUAAGGAUCGGCUAACUCCGUGCCAGCAGCCGCGGUAAUAC
rnacentral:rRNA from 1 species